rnacentral:tRNA from 1 species
AAGGAUAUAGUGUUAUCGGUAGCACGUCGGCCUCCGAAGCCGAAAGAAUGAGUUCAAAUCUCCUUAUCCUUG